GACGAACGCUGGCGGCGUGCCUAACACAUGCAAGUCGAGCGAACAGACGAGGCGCUUGCUCCUUUGACGUUAGCGGCGGGCGUGUGAGUAACACGUGGAUAACCCCCCUAUCAGACUGGGAUAAUUUCGGGAAACCGGCGCUAAUACCGGAUAAUAUCCUGCACCGCAUGGUGCAAUAGUGAAAGACGGCGUUUCUGUCUCUUCUAGCUGGUUAUCGGCCGCAUUGGCUAGUUGGUAAGUUAACGGCUUAUCAAGGCUACGAUGCGUAUCCGACCUGAGAGAGUGAUAGGCCGCACGAGAGGUGAGACAGGGUCAAGACUCCUACGGGAGGCAGCAGUAGGGAACGUUCCGCAGUAGGCGAAAGCCUUACGGAGCAACGCGGCGUGAGUUAUGACGAUCUUCGGAGCGGAAAGCUCUGUUAUGAGGGAAGAACAAAUGUGUAAGUAACUAUGCACGUCUUGACGGUACCUAAUCAGAAAGCCACGGCUAACUACGUG
rnacentral:rRNA from 1 species